rnacentral:lncRNA from 1 species
CGAAAUAGGCAUUUAUAGGCACAAUAGAAGUGCCACUAAAAUUUUUCUAGACCCAUAGUUCGUGCUUAUACGUGAAAUAGUCAC